AUUGAACGCUGGCGGCAUGCCUUACACAUGCAAGUCGAACGGCAGCACGGGAGCAAUCCUGGUGGCGAGUGGCGAACGGGUGAGUAAUAUAUCGGAACGUGCCCGGUCGUGGGGGAUAACGUAGCGAAAGCUACGCUAAUACCGCAUACGAUCUACGGAUGAAAGCGGGGGGAUCGCAAGACCUCGCGCGAUUGGAGCGGCCGAUAUCAGAUUAGGUAGUUGGUGAGGUAAAGGCUCACCAAGCCGACGAUCUGUAGCUGGUCUGAGAGGACGACCAGCCACACUGGGACUGAGACACGGCCCAGACUCCUACGGGAGGCAGCAGUGAGGAAUAUUGGACAAUGGGCGCAAGCCUGAUCCAGCCAUGCCGCGUGCAGGAUGACGGUCCUAUGGAUGUAAACUGCUUUUAUACAGGAAGAAACACUAACUUUCGUGAAGUA
rnacentral:rRNA from 1 species